CCGAUUCUUGAUCAACUGUGGUAUCGUUGUUAGCAUAUACGCCAAUCUAAUUAAGUUCUCCAAUAUUUUACCUCUUCCAGUUUACUUAUACUUUGAAUUAUCAAUACUAUUUCUUGGUCUAAUCUAUAUGCUAAGAGAUUUAGUCCUUUUGUUUGUUAAUCUUGCUACCUUACUGUCAUAAGAUGUAGGGAGGAUUAUAAUGAUAGUACUCGACAAUAUUAAAAUAGAAAAAUAAGUUCACAAUCACAAUAUUAAAAUAGAAAAAUAAGUUCACAAUCACAAUAUUAAAAUAGAAAAAUAAGUUCACAAUCACAAUAUUAAAAUAGAAAAAUAAGUUCACAAUCACAAUAUUAAAAUAGAAAAAUAAGUUCACAAUCACAAUAUUAAAAUAGAAAAAUAAGUUCACAAUCACAAUAUUAAAAUAGAAAAAUAAGUUCAAAUCUUAUUCUAUUCUACCAAACAUGCAUUUGAUGCAUCGCU
rnacentral:lncRNA from 1 species